rnacentral:lncRNA from 1 species
UUCACGGUCCUCUGAACAUAAAAUCUAAAACAGACUAUCCUUGAACACUAGAGCCCCUCCCCAACUUUGAACCGAGUUCCGAAAGUGGUCUCAUCUCCAUACUCGGCUUUGAACCCCACAUCCCCAAAAUAAGGAAUGGGGUAGACGUAAAGGAUCUUUUUUUUUUUUUUGCGGGAUGAAAAAAGGUUUAUUUUUUAAAAAAACCUUACCAUUUUUUCCCUCUUUAUUUUAAGAUUCUGGAAAUAGCUUUAAAAUAGCUUUAGAUUUCAAUCUUAACAUGAAUCAAAGCCGAGUCAGAGAAAUUUGGCCCUAUUUUAAUAGGGCUGGGGAAUGAGCUCCAGAGGUCAAUAAAGCCCUCCAAAAAUGAUGAAUGAUUGAGUACCUGUGAUGAUGAUAGUGAUUACUGGAGCAAUUAAACAGUUUGAUUAAAUGAGCCAUCAUAACAAUGAUGUCUGCGGGAAAUCAGCCCUCACAUAUAAAGAAAGAAAGUGUGUAGAAGGGCUGACAUAACGCCAGUGGGCAAUCCGAGGCUUUCCGAUAGCUAGAGUGCUGUGGAAACGGAGGUAUUUUCCAAUGCUCCUGAGGGGAAAGGGGGUGAUUAGAAAGGGAAAAAGUCAUGCAGAUACUUUAUGGCAUUGUUGUACACCCAAUUAAUAAUGAAGAGCAAAAGUGAAGGUUGAGAUUUUCUUCUUCUUCUUCUUCUUCUUCUUCUUCUUUCUUCUUCUUCUUCUUCUUCUCUCCUCCUCCUCCUCCUCCUCCUCCUCCUCCUCCUCCUCUCUUCUCCUUUCUCCUCCUCCUUCUCCUUCUCCUUCUCCUUCUCCUUCUCCUUCUCCUUCUCCUUCUCCUUCUCCUUCUCCUCCUUCUCCUUCUUCUCUUUCUCCUUCUCUUUCUUCUCCUUCUCCCCCUCCUCCUCCUGCUUCUUCUUCUCCUUCUCCUUCUCCUUUCCUUCUCCUUCUCCUUCUCCUUCUCCUUCUCCUUCUCCUUCUCCUUUCCUUCUCCUUCUCCUUCCCCACCCCCCGAAGAUCUCCAAGAUUAAGAGCAGUGACUCUGUGUUGUUGCUGACUUUACCUCGGAUUUAUAAGAAGAGGUGACUAAGCUUCUAAUCAGAGAGCCACUGUAAAAUCACUUCCGUUGGACCACAAGCACUCUUUCAAUGAAUUUCCUCAGAAGGAGCUGGCUUCAGAUGAAUUACAGGUAUAAGAAUAAAUUGCUAGAGUAAGUCUGGAAGAGAGCA